GAUUUCGGAAGCAUAAUUUUUUGAUACCUG
rnacentral:piRNA from 1 species